GCGGAGGGAUCAUUAAAGAGUUCUAUAACUCCCAAACCCAUGUGAACAUACCUAACGUUGCCUCGGCAGGUCGCACCUACCUUGUAGCACCCUACCCUGUAGGGCCUACCCGGGAGGUGCGGGUAAGCCUGCCGGCGGCCCACCAAACUCUGUUUGAUAUUGAAUUCUGAACCUAUAACUAAAUAAGUUAAAACUUUCAACAACGGAUCUCUUGGUUCUGGCAUCGAUGAAGAACGCAGCGAAAUGCGAUAAGUAAUGUGAAUUGCAGAAUUCAGUGAAUCAUCGAAUCUUUGAACGCAUAUUGCGCCCAUUAGUAUUCUAGUGGGCAGGACCGUUCGAGCGUCAUUUCAACCCUUAAGCCUUCGUUGCUUAGUGUUGGGAGCCUACGGCAACGUAGCUCCUCAAAGUUAGUGGCGGAGUUGGUUCACACUCUAGACGUAGUAAUUUUUUAUCUCGCCUAUUAGUUGGACUAAUCCCCUGCCGUAAAACCCCUAAUUUAUCAAGGUUGACCUCGAAUCGGUUCAGACAAACUCGCUAAAUUGAAGCAUCUUAGUCAGCGAAGGAAAAGAAACCAACAGGGAUUGCCCUAGUAACGGCGA
rnacentral:rRNA from 1 species